AUGCUUCAGGAGAGGCUCGCAUUUGAGGCGUCGGCGGAGGGCAAGGAGGAGGCGGAGAAGUACCGCAGCACCCCGCCCUGGAGCUGGAGGCCGGCAGUCCCCGUCACUGAGGUCACUGAGCAGCCACCAGCUUUUGAAUGGGUUCCGUACUUUGACGUUGAUGAGUUUGGGAGAGAAUCUGUGCUUAAGUGCGCAAGUUGGAGCGUCGAGGAAUUCACACUGGAACUUGCUCAAUGUGUGGUUGGACUUCAGUCAUUUAUAGAAGACAGGAAUUUUUUCUCUUGCUCUGGAACAAUUGUUGAGUUUCUGGAGGGUGUUGGUCAUGUGGUAACAUCUGCUAGUUUAGUUAAAUUGCCACACCAAGAUGAGAUAGCUGAUAAACUCAAGAUCAAUGUAUUCCUAGCAAGUGGAGAAAUAUUCGAGGGUUUGGUAUCAAAUGUGGACUUUUGUUACAAUAUAUGUGUGGUGGAAGUCCGUUCAACUUCAAUGCUGGCUACGAAAAAGUUCAGUGCGGACAGUAGAAUCUUUAAUUUUAACGAGUACCAUUCAAGAGAUGUUGUAGCGUUAGGCUGCCUUUGUGAGCCGUGGAGCUUGAACGUUGCUUCAGGAAAGCUAAUCCCAAGAAGAAGCCAGCUUGAUUGUGAAGAACUUCUUGUGUCGUCUUGCAGGAUUUCAAAGAGAGGUAUUGGGGGUUCUCUGGUGGAUUUUGAUGGAAAUAUCAUCGGCAUGAACUUCUAUGACAGGAAAGAAACCCCUUUCAUUCCAGGUUUCAUUGUGUUGAAGUGUGUGCAGCCCUUUCAAAUGAUUUCGGGACGGUCAUACGACCGUUGCAUGGACUGA
rnacentral:rRNA from 1 species